rnacentral:antisense_RNA from 1 species
AGUUUUCAAACUAUCUAUAGGGUCAAGUUGGUAAUUUUUCUUACAUCUCCUCCUCCCGGAGCCCAAGUAUCAUAUACGCCCCCAAAAGAAAGAGCCUUGAAUACUAGAAGAAAAACACCUAGACCUAACAAUAUUAAGUGAAUACCUAAAAUUGUGGUCAUUUUAUUUCGAUCUUUCCG